rnacentral:lncRNA from 1 species
AAUUGGUGGAUAGAUACCAUUAAGACAUUAUUAAUCUGUCACCCACAUUUAUUUUAUUCAUUUUAAUCACCACUUUUGCUUGCCAAAAAAAAUCACCUUUCUUAAAAUAAUCGAAAAUGAAACACAGGCUAAUGAGCACAAAAUUACAAUAACGAAAUUUAAACAUACGAGCAACCAAUCUCUUAAAACAUCAAGCAUCGUUGUGUUGGAGUAAAAAAAUCUUUAUUUAUUAUAUGGUCAUAUCAUAGCCAGUGAUGCGACCAAGCGUGCAAUUAAGGAAUUCCAUUUUUUGAAGGAAGUUGGUCAGUAUGUGAUUUGUCAAUUACGUCUUGCCCUCCCCACUUUCGCAUACGCUCUGAUGUUUGCUCAACCUGCAAUUUGUAGUUGGUAAGAUAAUACAUUGAUCAAAAUGGAACUACGAAACUAAGAAUUGCAAAAUAACCCAUGAAAGAAA